UACAGAGGGUGCGAGCGUUAAUCGGAAUUACUGGGCGUAAAGCGUGCGUAGACGGUUAUUUAAGUCGGAUGUGAAAGCCCCGGGCUCAACCUGGGAAUUGCAUUCGAGACUGAAUAGCUAGGGUGCGGUAGAGGGAAGCGGAAUUUCCGGUGUAGCGGUGAAAUGCGUAGAUAAUCGGAAGGAACAUCAGUGGCGAAAGCGGCUUCCUGGACCAGCACCGACGUCAGGCACGAAAGCGUGGGGAGCAA
rnacentral:rRNA from 1 species